CCCCUCUCAGGAUGGCACCUGGAGAGUUUCCAGUACUCUACCAGUCUCGACUAUGGGAGGGAGAGUCAACUAGAGGCAUACCCAUUCCAGUCCUAGCUUGGGCAGUGGGUAGCGAGUGGAAGGCAAUCUGCUACAAGU
rnacentral:snoRNA from 1 species